rnacentral:rRNA from 1 species
GACGAACGCUGGCGGCGUGCUUAACACAUGCAAGUCACGGGGGCUCAGCAAUGGGCAACCGGCGAACGGGUGCGUAACACGUGAGCAACCUGCCGAUCUGAGGGGGAUAGCCGGCCCAACGGCCGGGUAAUACCGCAUACGCUUUCUUGGCCUCCUGGCUAGGGAAGGAAACCUCCGGGGCAGAUCGAGGGGCUCGCGGCCUAUCAGCUAGUUGGCGGUGUAAUGGACCACCAAGGCGACGACGGGUAGCUGGUCUGAGAGGAUGGCCAGCCACAUUGGGACUGAGAGACGGCCCAGACUCCUACGGGAGGCAGCAGUGGGGAAUCUUGCGCAAUGGCCGAAAGGCUGACGCAGCGACGCCGCGUGUGGGAUGAAGCAUUUCGGUGUGUAAACCACUGUUGCCCGGGACGAACAUCCUCUUUCGAGAGGACUGACGGUACCGGGUGAGGAAGCACCGGCUAACUCCGUGCCAGCCGCCGCAGUAAC